UUUAGAUUAGAUUCAUAAUGUGAAAUUCAAUUCUUUUUAAUAUGAAUAACUCAUAUAAGUUGAUAACAAUGCUACAUCAACAUAUAGCAGCCAAGUUUAUUUUUGUAUUUAAGUGAUUCAGUACUUGGAAAUUGGAAUGGUCUAAUGAGCGAGUGCAGCACCGUUCGAGAAAUAUAUGGAGAACUGCCUGAACUGGAGAAGGCUGUCAAAAAAAUUCAGCAAAUUACAUUUCUGAAUUUAUUAUGAUCCAAAAAUUGAUGACAAUCUAACUUCAUAAUUGCCAAAAUCUGAAAAUCAGUUACUAUCUUCUUUCCAGGGGACUCAAUUUUUAAAUUCAGAUCUUAACUUCAAGUCUUCAACUGGAAUUAGAAAGAUGAACUUAAUCAAUUUCUCUACACCUAACAGAGUAACAGCAUUUCCAAUUCCACGAUAGAAAUAUAAACCCAUGAGACCCAUCAAUAAUUAACCAGUAACAUUCAUAAAUUAAGCAAAAUCGUAAAUACAAUUUUCAAUUUUUAGAAUUUUCCACACUUCAUCUUCACUGAAACAUACAUUAGGUAAGUAAGGUAACCUUCAAUCACCUUCUUAGUUCUUCGUUCUUCUGGGCUCCGGCUUCGGGUUUCUCCAAUCUCCAGUGAAUCAGUUCUUUCGUUGGGCAGCUUGGGCCGACAGACGCAGUGGCAGGCGGUGGACUGGACGUCUGGAACUGUUAGUCUAGAAGUCACCAGUCGGCGCCUGUGAGUUGGAGUAGCGACUAGCGACUAGCAAGAAGUGGCGAUGGCAUUGGGUCGAUCGGUUGAGAGAGACGCGAUUCAAGUUGCAAGGGUUUGGUAAUGGGUGUGAAUUGAACGUAAAUGGGUUAAUUGAUUCAAGAUGUCGGGUCGGGUCAUUAAAUGACACAUGGACUGCAGGAAAUUAGGCCUUUUUAAUUAACCAGGCUUUACCCAAACCAAAAAAAAAAAAUUUGUUUUGGGCCUACUGGAGCCCAAAAGUUCAGUGCGGGGGCUCCGCCUCUGGUUACAAUAAAUGUCGAUUACAUUUUUUCUUUCAAUUUUUG
rnacentral:lncRNA from 1 species